GACGAACGCUGGCGGCGUGCUUAACACAUGCAAGUCGAACGGAAAGGCCCUGCUUUUGUGGGGUGCUCGAGUGGCGAACGGGUGAGUAACACGUGAGUAACCUGCCCUUGACUUUGGGAUAACUUCAGGAAACUGGGGCUAAUACCGGAUAGGAGCUCCUGCUGCAUGGUGGGGGUUGGAAAGUUUCGGCGGUUGGGGAUGGACUCGCGGCUUAUCAGCUUGUUGGUGGGGUAGUGGCUUACCAAGGCUUUGACGGGUAGCCGGCCUGGGAGGGUGACCGGCUACAUUGGGACUGAGAUACGGCCCAGACUCCUACGGGAGGCAGAAGUGGGGAAUAUUGCACAACGGGCGGAAGCCUGAUGCAGCAACGCCGCGUGCGGGAUGACGGCCUUCGGGUUGUAAACCGCUUUCGCCUGUGACGAAGCGUGAGUGACGGUAAUGGGUAAAGAAGCACCGGCUAACUACGUG
rnacentral:rRNA from 1 species